GGGGUAAUGUGGGGGAGAGGCCACGCUGUGUCUUUCCAGAAGGUGCCCUUCACCCCGUCUGGGUACCUGAGCCUGCUGUUGGUCACCACCGUGGAGGAUCCGCCGCCACAGUUCACACAACUGAAGCCCACGCUGACGUGUUGGCCCCGACUUCCACCAGGAACAGGAUGCCAGGAAGAAGAGGAGGGGCGCGAAGAAGUCUCGGCAGACCCAGAAUGCCUAAAGCCAACAUGCGGACGACUCAAGAGCCUGAUGCAGCCGCUGAACAGAGGGCCCACCACAGGGAGGUCAUCCAAGUCUGCAGCCACCAUGUUUGUGGCUGUGCUGGCUUCUGUGAACUGUCAGGUAGGUGGGGGUCAUGGGGAACUUCCAGACUUAUUUCCCAGAUCCACCUUAGAGCAUCUGACUCUGUGGACGGGAGACUCCGCUCCAGUACUGACCUGUGGUACACGCGGCGGUGGGAGUUUCCAGAUAAACCUGUUACCCCUGUUCACACAACUGGGUUUGGUGAUACUGGUCACACUGGGGAACGGCCUAUAUGUUGGUCCCUCAGUGAAAAUACUGGCUGUUUAAAAUCGGCCCAAGAGAUAAAGACAGUAUAUGGGGGACCCAGUAGCCAUUGUCACUGGCCUCUGGGAUUUAAAAAAAUAUUUCCAGACAAUUAGAAAAAUGGGACUUCCCAAGGACAUAACUGUCUCCCGUGGGGCAGCCACCAAUACCUCGUUGCCCUAAUGACACUACAGUAGAAUGGGUGCCUUUCCUAACUGGGUGGAGUGUGCCAAUAUUAUGCCAGUGCCACACGAUAUCCCUGGCAGUCGUGGAUUUAUUCUAGAUUGGUCUCAUAGACUUGAUAAGAGACACCCACACUGAAAUCGUGACUCCUGGAGGAUUUGUCAGUACGACUCUGCCCUUCAGCCAUGGGGGCGUACAGAAAGAGCUGUGGUGUGUGACCGCUGCCUCGGACCUCACCAUAUACCCCAGUGCCACCAAGCAGCACCCAGGACGAGAGCUGUGAAGUGGCUCCCUGCUUGGCCUGCAGGCCUGUGUAGAGUCUCCUUAUGUUUUAAUUUCUGGGAAUAUAAAAGUAAACAGGGCAGAAGAAAAAUACCACGUGACUUGUCAAAGUUGCAAUCUGGCUAAUUGCAUUCCAGGUAUAAUAAAGGACAGGAAGUGCUUGUGUUGUACCAACCCUCCUUUGUUAUGAUCCCAGCCAACACCUCAGAGCCCUG
rnacentral:lncRNA from 1 species